rnacentral:rRNA from 1 species
AUUGAACGCUGGCGGCAUGCCUUACACAUGCAAGUCGAACGGUAACGGGCCUUCGGGUGCCGACGAGUGGCGAACGGGUGAGUAAUGCAUCGGAACGUACCUUUCAGUGGGGGAUAACGUAGCGAAAGUUACGCUAAUACCGCAUAUUCCGUGAGCAGGAAAGCAGGGGAUCGCAAGACCUUGCGCUGAUUGAGCGGCCGAUGUCAGAUUAGCUAGUUGGUGAGGUAAAGGCUCACCAAGGCGACGAUCUGUAGCGGGUCUGAGAGGAUGAUCCGCCACACUGGAACUGAGACACGGUCCAGACUCCUACGGGAGGCAGCAGUGGGGAAUUUUGGACAAUGGGGGCAACCCUGAUCCAGCCAUGCCGCGUGAGUGAAGAAGGCC